GUGGGGAAUUUUGGACAAUGGGCGAAAGCCUGAUCCAGCAAUGCCGCGUGCAGGAUGAAGGCCCUCGGGUUGUAAACUGCUUUUGUACGGAACGAAAAGCCUGGGGCUAAUAUCCCCGGGUCAUGACGGUACCGUAAGAAUAAGCACCGGCUAACUACGUGCCAGCAGCCGCGGUAAUACGUAGGGUGCAAGCGUUAAUCGGAAUUACUGGGCGUAAAGCGUGCGCAGGCGGUUUUGUAAGACAGGGGUGAAAUCACCGGGCUCAACCUGGGAACUGCCAUUGUGACUGCAAGGCUAGAGUGCGGCAGAGGGGGAUGGAAUUCCGCGUGUAGCAGUGAAAUGCGUAGAUAUGCGGAGGAACACCGAUGGCGAAGGCAAUCCCCUGGGCCUGCACUGACGCUCAUGCACGAAAGCGUGGGGAGCAAACAGGAUUAGAAACCCCGGUAGUCC
rnacentral:rRNA from 1 species